rnacentral:rRNA from 1 species
AACGAACGCUGGCGGCAGGCCUAACACAUGCAAGUCGAGCGAGGACUUCGGUUCUAGCGGCGGACGGGUGAGUAACGCGUGGGAAUGUGCCCUUCUCUACGGAAUAGCUCUGGGAAACUGGGAGUAAUACCGUAUACGCCCUAUUGGGGAAAGAUUUAUUGGAGAAGGAUCAGCCCGCGUUGGAUUAGGUAGUUGGUGGGGUAAUGGCCUACCAAGCCGUCGAUCCAUAGCUGGUUUGAGAGGAUGAUCAGCCACACUGGGACUGAGACACGGCCCAGACUCCUACGGGAGGCAGCAGUGGGGAAUCUUAGACAAUGGCGGCAACGCUGAUCUAGCCAUGCCGCGUGAGUGAUGAAGGCCUUGGGGUUGUAAAGCUCUUUCAGCUGGGAAGAUAAUGACGGUACCAGCAGAAGAAGCCCCGGCUAACUCCGUG